GGAAGAUUGGCAACAAUUGUUAGCUCAGGGCCAAUCUUUCUCACAAAAAGAAAAAAAAGCACCAAAGAAGCCCCUCAAAAAAUGUGGUUGUCUGGUUUCUUGUCUAGUUGAAGACUAAAAUUUUGGCAUACACCUGAGAUUAUUUUUCUGAAUGUCUUGGUGCUAUACAUGGGAGGUGUAUUAUUUUUAUUUAAGAAACUCAGUGAAAGAGCCUCCUGCAGUUCAGCCAGUGUUCCAAGUCCUUUAUGAAUAUUAACUCAGUUCACCAUCCUGGCAACCCUUACGGUAGGAACUAGUGUAAUGCCCCAUUUCGAUGAGGAAGUUAAGUAGCUUACCCUGGGCCAGACAGCUAAGUGGCAGAAUCGGGAUUCAGAAUUACUCUGGAGUCCACAUGCCAGUUCGGAAAGGACUGGCAGCCACAUCUGAGUAGGUUUCCUUUACUGAUUUGAAGUCAAGGGCACAGAAAAGAUUACUCAACCCUUGGUACCCUGGUUCCAAGACAUCCAGGGACCUGGAGUCUCAGCUUCCGGUUAUCACUCUGCGUAUCCAAGAGUCAGGGUCACGUCUUACCUGCCCUCCUCCUUGGGCCAUGUCUGCGGAGCCCCCAAACAGCGGGCAAUAAUGGGAAAGCUGGCAUCAAGCAGCAGCCGUUCUCUUUACGGGACACAGAAAUGACCCCUUGUUAUCUUUGACUCCACGGCUGCUGUAAUAUUAUUCGGUUAGCCCUAGUUACAGACUGGUUUUUGUGGUGUGUGAGGAAAGCUACACGGCUUCUCAGCAUUAGCUCUUGACCUGGCAAAAGGAGAAGGAUUGUAUUGUACUUUGAGCUGAUGGAGGGCUGGGGUACCACGUCUAAUUGUUAUUGAUGUCCCUACACCAUUUCAGGUACUGGUGAGAGGCACAAAGCCUCCAGACACUGAAGCAAGAUGGUGCUGGCGGCAUAGUAACAAAUUAGAUCCAGGUGAUGUGGCCUAGUCCCUUGUCUUGAAUACUUAAGCAUUGCUGUAAAUCGCGGUCCCAGACUGGCCUGUUGAUCCCAGUAUGAGCGCAAGAGACACAUGAAGCGGAGCCAAGUUGAUCCAGCCAAGACCAGCCUGGAUUAGUUUACUCCCAGAUUACAUUCAGACACGUGAGUGAACCCAGUAUGGAUAAACUGAACCUCACAGACACGUAACAGAUGUCUACUGUUGUAUAAUCAUUAUUUUCCUAAACAUCUGAUGCAAUCACCAACCAGAUUAAAAACGUUUUGAGGACAGGGCCUUGUUUUAUUUAUUUUACCUAGAACUCAGUAGGCAAUGUGUAUUGCCUCAGUAUUUAAUGGUAUUGGAUGGCUUCAUGAAUAAAGAUCAAUUGAAAAUAAUUUUUUUCCAUUUUUUUUUUCUAUUCUGGCUAAUCAUGCUAAUAGCUACAACUGAAUGCCUCAGAAUCUAAUGGCAGAGCCCCAUUCAGUGAACUAAUCUCUAACUAAGCAUCACAUUUUUUCCCCCAAGAUCUUCAGGGGGUGAUUUCCAUGAGCCUCUCCCAAUCCCCUGACAUGGUUAGUGUUUAAUAAUUCUUAAUAAGAACAUGUACUGAUAAGGAUAUGUAGUUAUCAGUGAUCUGCAGACCAUACAUGAGCACUGAAUGGACGAGGUCUUUACACCCGGGUUCAACACAGGCAGUAGCAUUUUUUCUCAAUUCAGUUCUAGAGCAAAUUGAAGUGUGAGCCAUUUUUAAUCUCAUAGCCUCCUGUUUCUUUCCCAAAAUAAAUAUCCUCUUCCCUAUUAAACCCUGUUCCCAGCAAUGGAUCUAAUUGGCAGCUAAAUGAGAAAUUGCGGGUAAUAUUGCCUCUCAUGAAGAGAUUUGCAUAUUAACAUUCAUUCAUUGUUUUCACUCAUUCAAUAAUGCCGAGUGGCCACUUACUGCCCAGCACCACAAGGAGUAUUUGGGAUGUAAUGGUGACCAAGGCGAAUAUGGUUUCUUCCUUCAUGGAGUGCAUGAUUUGGAGGUAGGGGCAAGUGGGAAAAGACAGACACAGACACUGAACAAAAUCAGUACAUGUUUAAAGAGGAGAGGGAAAGGAGGCAGUGGAGUGUAUGGCAGGGGCUGUGAACCUAGUCUACAGAGGCAGGGAAUUGCCCUGGGGAAAUGAUGUUUACACUUGAAGAAGUUGGAGUUAGUCCAAAAAGUACAGGAAAAUCAUUUCUGGAGGGGGAAUGGUUUAUAUAAAGCUCCUAAAGAGAGAUAGAUUCUAGUUUGUUCAGGAACCGAAGGUAGUCGAGAAUGGCUGGAGUCAAAAGACAGAGGGCAUCAUCCUUGAUGAUGAUACUUUGAAUAGCGUUCAAAGUUUUGUUUGUCAGAAUAGCUCUAAGAGAGGUGUUUGGAUUACCUGGGAUGCUUGUUAAAGAAGCAGAUUCCUGAGCUUCCCCCAUUAUUACAUGGUCAGAAUCUCUAAUCAGAGCCUAUGAUCUGCGUUUUAACAAGUUCAUUUGGCAAUUCUUAUGUCCCCUAAAUUUUGAGAAUCACUGGACUAAGUGAAUAAAGCUUCCAAGGUAGAAGACUGACAGGUAUCAAUAGCAGGUGAGGAAAAUAUUCGGGUGCAAUGUGGAGUAUUCCUGGAGCUCUUAAAGUAAUACCACGCAGGCCAGGGUCUACUACUUUUUGGCCAGCAGAGUUGCUGGUGCUCCUUGUAUGAAUAGGGGCAUUGGGCCAUGCUGAGCAAUAGGACUGAAAUGUUGUGUUUUGAAAACUUAUACUCAAUGAGGAAAUAUCAAAUAAUUUUUAAAUAAAUUUGGUUCUAAUUUAUCCCCAACAAUAACUCUUGAGAAGCGCCUGGGAUAUAACAAAUACCGUGGGUGUUCUCCUAUUGGAACCCUCCCUCGAUCAACUUGCUGGACUUGCUCAUUCUGUCCAGUCCUUCUGCCCCACGGCACCCAGAUGUCUGUGAAAAUAUGCUUUUCUCAAGGAUAAGCACACCUCCGCUGCCACUUUAUGAGUUUUAUUCUUAACACGAGUCAGUUGUGUUUAUUCUCAAACUUUUCUAUGCCACAUGUUUCUCAUUUUGAAAUUAUAAAAUUUAAUUAUGAAAUAAACAAAAGACAUGUAAUUGUAAAAAGAGUUUUUAUUUCAGUGAACACUAAAUUUGAUGCUUUGGAAAGUUCUGAAAACUUCUUUAACACUGCUUUCAGAUUAAGUGCAGGUAAGAAACAGAAAAGAUUGGGAAAACAUCAGAAAAAUCUAGAUAGAUUCUGCUUUGAAUUGCUUCAUCUUUGUCUUUAAGUUCUCAUUUCAGAUAUAAAAACAAAACAAACAAAAUGGAAUUACUGGCACAUGUUGAGGAUGCAUGUGGAUUUGUUUGUGCAAAAGAUCGACUCAGAUCUCCAGCCAGUGGCCCCACACCAAAGAAAUGAUCUUGGCCCUACAUUUGAAGUUUGGCAAAUGAAUGACGCAAAGCCAGAAGCACCUCUAUUUCUGUCUGGAGACCCCCGGGACUAUGGGUGCUUUUGAGGAGCAGCACGCUGGAUCAUAGCGGUCUCUACUUGGAAACACUCAAGCGUUAAUGAUGUAGAUCAACUGUGCUGUUUUCCCCUCAGCCCAGUGACUCUUCUCUGGCUCUCCUGAACAUCAACUGUGAAUGGAAAUGGAACUGGAUCCUGUCUACCAUUGUCUUCUUGGGAAAGAUACUUCAUAGGAUCCCCAGGGUCCCAUAUCUAUGUUUACAUCGUGCUUACACAAGGUGGGCCAUCUUCUAAGUGCUCCAUACAAAGGAACUUAUUGAAUCUUUACAGCGCCAGGAGAUAUGGAGCAUUCUUACCCCUACUCACAGGGACAACACCUUUUUUCUGACCCUAAACCGUGUUCUGGCACCAAGAGAAGCACUCUAGAAUCUGAGUUCUUUCUGUGAGCUGCUGCCUAAAUUCAGAGUCCUAGAGAAGACUAUUAAUGAUGGUACACAGAAGACAGAGAGAGAUAAACUGCAUCAGUUUCUUUAUGUGCAGGAGGACCUACAUGAUCUUAGAAGAGAACCGACCUUUUAAAACCUCAUUUCAACCUCAACGUAUGACCUCAGAGAAACUCAUUUGCUCUCUGGAAAGUUUUUAAGAUUUACAACAGAGGAAAAAAAAUCCUUCAGCUUGGGCAAGUUCUGAUGCAACAUAAAAGUAAUGCUGUUAAAAUUUCAAUCAUUGCCAUGGUUUAGCAGUGUGUUCACAUCAACCACAUGUACCCAGAAAGUCUGUCAACUCAGCAAUAACCAAGAAUUCUACUUAUUACUCUCACUACAAAAAUCCAUGAAUUAAAUUAUAACUGUUUGCAUUUGAA